rnacentral:rRNA from 1 species
AUGCAGUGUAGUAUGAGUGAAUUGUACAACGAAACUGCGAAUGGCUCGGUAAAACAGCUAUAGUUUCUUCGGUGGUAAAUACUACUUGGAUACCCGUAGUAAUUCUAGAGCUAAUACAUGCCACAAAAGCGGCGCUUGCGCCGUGGUAUAAAUUGGAGAUACAAGCCAAUGUUUGGUGAUUCACGAUUUCUUUUCUGAUUGCACACAUCGUGUGCGACGCACCGUUCAAAUUUCUGACCUAUCAACUUUGGAUGGUAAGGUAUUGUCUUACCAUGGUUGUGACGGGUAACGGACCGUGGGUGCGGGACUCCGGAGAGGGAGCCUGAGAAACGGCUACCACAUCCAAGGAAGGCAGCAGGCGCGCAAAUUACCCAAUCCGGACACCGGGAGGUAGUGACAAGAAAUAGCAAUAGAGGGCCCAACGGGUUUCUAAUUGGAAUGAGAACAAGGUAAACAGCUUACGAGGAGCCC